GUGCUCACUUCAGCAGCGCAUAUACUAAAAUUGGAACGAUAACAGAGAUUAUUAUGCCCCCUGCACAAGGAUGACACGCAAAUUUGUGAAGCUUUCCAUAUUUUU
ensembl:snRNA U6 U6 spliceosomal RNA